AUUGAACGCUGGCGGCAUGCCUUACACAUGCAAGUCGAACGGCAGCACGGGGGCAACCCUGGUGGCGAGUGGCGAACGGGUGAGUAAUGCAUCGGAACGUGCCCAGUAGUGGGGGAUAACCCGGCGAAAGCCGGGCUAAUACCGCAUACGACCUACGGGUGAAAGCGGGGGACCGUAAGGCCUCGCGCUAUUGGAGCGGCCGAUGUCGGAUUAGCUAGUUGGCGGGGUAAAGGCCCACCAAGGCGACGAUCAGUAGCUGGUCUGAGAGGACGACCAGCAACGCUGGGACUGAGACACGGCCCAGACUCCUACGGGAGGAAGCAGUGGGGAAUUUUGGACAAUGGGCGCAAGCCUGAUCCAGCCAUGCCGCGUGCGGGAAGAAGGCCUUCGGGUUGUAAACCGCUUUUGGCAGGAACGAAACGGCGCAAGCUAAUACCUUGCGCUAAUGACGGUACCUGCAGAAUAAGCACCGGCUAACUACGUGCCAGCAGCCGCCGUAACAC
rnacentral:rRNA from 1 species